rnacentral:rRNA from 1 species
UACGGAGGGUGCAAGCGUUGUCCGGAAUCACUGGGCGUAAAGGGCGCGUAGGCGGCUCAUGAAGGCUGUGGUGAAAGUCCGGGGCUCAACCUCGGAUCGGCCGUGGCGACUCGUGGGCUGGAGCACUGUAGAGGCGGGUGGAAUUCCGGGUGUAGCGGUGGAAUGCGUAGAGAUCCGGAAGAACACCAGUGGCGAAGGCGGCCCGCUGGGCAGUGGCUGACGCUGAGGCGCGACAGCGUGGGGAGCAAAGAGG